UCCGCCAGAGAACUACCAACCACGCAUUUGAAACUCAAAGGACUUGGCGGUGUCUCAAAUCCAACUAGAGGAGCCUGUUCUACAACCGAUAAUCCACGAUUUACCUCACCACCCCUAGCCGAUCAGCCUAUAUACCUCCGUCUUCAGCCUACCUUAUGAAAGAACAAAAGUAAGCACAAUAGUCAAAAAACACUAACAAGUCAGGUCAAGGUGUAGCCAAUGGAGUGGAAGAAAUGGGCUACAUUUUCUACCAUAGAAAUACCCCUAACGGAACGGAUCAUGAAACAAGACCCAGAAAGCAGGAUUUAGUAGUAAUGUAAGAAUAGAGAGCCUACAUUAAUUAGGACCUGAGACGCGCACACACCGCCCGUCACCCUCAUCAAAAAACAACUAACUCUAUAUAAGCCACUAAAACAACGUAUAAAGAUGAGGCAAGUCGUAACAAGG
rnacentral:rRNA from 1 species